CUGAGGGGUCUCGGGCUCCAGUUCUCAAGGGCCGGUGUGGCCUGCGGUUUUUAGAUGCGCCACAGGUACAAAACACUGGAAUGAAAUGGCUUAAUUGCCUCCUCCUUGUGUAGAUCAGUUCUCCAGAGCCUUGCUAAAGACCUAAUUAUACUAUUCAGGUGUGGUGCA